CCUACGGGUGGCUGCAGUGAGGAAUAUUGGUCAAUGGCCGCGAGGCUGAACCAGCCAAGCCGCGUGAGGGAUGACGGUCCUAUGGGUUGUAAACUUCUUUUGUACGGGGGCAAAGUCACACACGUGUGGCGGUUUGAGAGUACCGGAAGAAAAAGCAUCGGCUAACUCCGUGCCAGCAGCCGCGGUAAUACGGAGGAUGCGAGCGUUAUCCGGAUUUAUUGGGUUUAAAGGGUGCGUAGGCGGGUUAUUAAGUCAGCGGUAAAAUCGUGGGGCUCAACCCCAUCCAGCCGUUGAAACUGAUGAUCUUGAGAGGGCGAGAAGUAUGCGGAAUGCGUGGUGUAGCGGUGAAAUGCAUAGAGAUCACGCAGAACUCCGAUUGCGAAGGCAGCAUACCGGCG
rnacentral:rRNA from 1 species